CAGUGUUUAGAGCACGAUCAUUCCAAAUUUCAAGAGGAAGAAAGAGAAUUACUGCCAGUGAUUGCCAUCUUACCGCCUCUGCAAACCUGGGGGCAUCAUCACUAUCACAGGCUGAUAUUGCACAGCUAUAUGAUUAACUGGAAUCUUAUUUUGAAAUAGAGAAGUGCAAGAUUUCAAACUUACAGGUAUAAUUCUUUUCACACCAGCUACUUAUCUCAACUGGAGAAAACAGCAAUUGGGAGUCAGAGAGGAAAAGUGUUCAGUGAAGAAAUUCAGUGAUGAGAGAAGAGUUUCAUUGGUGUUGGAAGGCAAACACAGAAAAGUAAACACAGCCCAAUGGAUUACAACAGAUGAAUGGUCACCACUUAGUAGCAACAUUAAAUCCUGCCUUUCAAGAGUCAAAAGGACUGGAAUCUGCUUCUAAGAUAUUUAGUAAUCUACUGAAAAAGUUUGCCACCAGUUAUAGCUUUAAUCCCAAGUUUUCUCUUGUUCUGACGAUAUUUGAUGAGGAAAUUACCUGCUACAAGGAGAUGUUUGAAAAUCAAAGACAGGAUUAUGUGGAAGAGGAGGAAAAUUUCUGCACAAAGUGUGAAGAAAUUUGUCUUCUUUAAGAAAAAUAUAAAGAAAGAGCA